rnacentral:rRNA from 1 species
GAUGAACGCUGGCGGCGCGCCUAACACAUGCAAGUCGAACGAUUAAAGCACCUUCGGGUGUGUAUAAAGUGGCGAACGGCUGAGUAACACGUGGGCAACCUGCCCCUCUCAUUGGGAUAGCCACGGGAAACCGUGGAUAAUACCGAAUACUUCGGGACUUCCGCAUGGAAGACUCGAGAAAGCUCCGGCGGAGAGGGAUGGGCCCGCGGCCUGUUAGCUUGUUGGUGGGGUAAUGGCCUACCAAGGCAAUGAUGGGUAGCUGGGUUGAGAGACCGACCAGCUAGAUUGGGACUGAGACACGGCCCAGACUCCUACGGGAGGCAGCAGUGGGGAAUCUUGCACAAUGGGCGAAAGCCUGAUGCAGCGACGCCGCGUGCGGGAUGAAGGCCUUCGGGUUGUAAACCGCUUUCAGCAGGGACGAGGCGAAAGUGACGGUACCUGCAGAAGAAGCCCCGGCUAACUACGUG